AGGCAGCAGCGCUUCGUACCCCCCGGAGGGGCGCCCACUCUCCCCUCCCCGCAAAGACAGCAGGAUGCUCCAGGCCCCUUCACCACGGCGCGAGAAGGCAGAGGGACGGAGGGCCCCUGCUCCAAGCGGCCUCCAGGGGCUGGGAGGCGGGGAGGAGGGCGGGCCGGAGCGGGGGAGGGGCCGCCGUGGCUAUAAAGGCCCGGCCCGCGGCCCCGCUCCAGCCCGGGACGCACACGUGCGCGCUGCGCCGCAGCCGCCACCGCGGGAGCCCCGAGACCCGCGUGCCCCUGGCCCGGGCGGCAGUGGCGGCGGCAUGUGCAGCGCGCGACGGAGCUGACGGCGGCCGCCGGCCCCAUGUCCUUCGCAAUGCUGCGUUCGGCGCCGCCCGGCCGCUACCUGUACCCUGAAGUGAGCCCGCUGUCGGAGGACGAGGACCGAGGCAGCGAGAGCUCGGGUUCAGACGAGAAACCCUGCCGUGUGCACGCGGCGCGCUGCGGCCUCCAGGGCGCCCGAAGACGGGCCGGGGGCCGGCGGGUGGGGGGCAGUGGCCUGGGGCCCGGAGGGCGGCCGGGCCGCGAGCCCCGGCAGCGGCACACGGCGAACGCGCGGGAGCGGGACCGCACCAACAGCGUGAACACGGCUUUCACCGCGCUACGCACGCUCAUCCCCACCGAGCCCGCUGACCGCAAGCUCUCCAAGAUCGAGACCCUGCGCCUGGCCUCCAGCUAUAUCUCACACCUGGGCAACGUGCUGCUGGUGGGCGAGGCCUGCGGCGACGGGCAGCCCUGCCACUCAGGGCCUGCCUUCUUCCACGCAUCGCGUGCCGGCAGCCCCCCGCCCCCGCCGCCCCCACCCCCUGCCCGUGACGGCGAGAACGCCCAGCCCAAACAGAUCUGCACCUUCUGCCUCAGCAACCAGAGAAAGUUGACAGCACGCGUGAGCUCCUGGGGCCUGAACAUCUGGGAGAUUUAAUUUUACAAUUUCGGCUGUGCAGCAGCGCACUCUCCUCCCCAAACUGCUCGGGGAAGCCGGGAGCAAGGACCGGGACAGAAAGACGGCGAUCCGGAGUUAGAGGCGACGUCGGGCCAUCCACGGAGAGCCCCAGACCUGACUCAGGCACAGGCCUCGCUGAGGGCACCCCCAGGCCCACCUGGCCCCAGCUGCAAGUGGGGCUGAUGGACAGACAGGCGGUGGGACGCGCGGCCACCACAGCACUUGCCCGGCCCCACUGGAACUUUCCGUGCUGGCUCGCUACCUGGUUCUCCUCUGGCCAUUAUGUGCUAGCAUUCUGUGUCUUUGAUAUGAUAAUAUAAAGUCUGGAAAUUUUGUAUAAUUAAAAACAAAACAGUAUCUUCCAAACGCAGA